rnacentral:lncRNA from 1 species
CAGCCAAGGUCUCCUGGGCAGACCACCACCCCGUGCUGGAGCACCAGCGCCAGGAGGAGCUGCAGGCCGAGCAAAACAUGUACCGUUUGAUUCCUGUGUUUAGAUGUCCAACCUGCCACCCACCAUGCAGCUGCCACCACCCAUUUCCAAAGGUCAAGCAAGGCCUGGGGGGUUUCAUAGCCACCCUCACCCCAAUCAAUGCUACAUGUGAUGCCAUCAGUGCCCUCUGAAUGCUGACCAAGGAGCCUGGAGAACGACUCAGCUACAGCAUUCUGAGACAUAGUUCCAUUUUGGCCUCUGGUCACAACUGAGACCUCAAUGAUCCGGUGAUGCUGUGAUUCUCCAGGACAAGAUUACACCAGCUGAAGACAUCCUGGGAGGAACAAAAUCUUCAUCUACUCAGUUCCUCAUUGUUCUUGGAUUGUUACAUCUUGUUUACACCAAUGUACUGAACUCUCUGCAGAUUGUUUGUUACAUUUGUUUCUCCCGAUGUACAGUAAGCUGGGGGCUUUCGUCUUUGCUGCCCAGAGCAGCACUGAUCAGACCCAAAGCUCAGCUUCUUCUCAAAGUCUUAUUUUUCUACCUUUCCUGUAAUUCGCCUUGGCUUGAAGGAGACUAGGACUUACUGCAGAGGUUCUAGUAACAUCCCC